UGCUUUUGUAGUUCUUUGUGCAACUUCUCAUAGGGGCUCGUCCCUAGAUCCCGUGUUUUGGAAAGUUCUUCAGAGGCUCCUCCAAAGAGCAGUUCUAUUCCUGGUGUUUCAGCAGCUUUGUAGCAGUUGGUGAAUGUCUGCCAUGUGGUUUUAGCUCAAGGAAUGUUUAUUUUUUUCCUGAUAUCUUCUUUCCUGCCAUGCAUGUUUUUACAGCCCUUUAUGAAACUUCUUUGUUAGUUUUGGAAUUAUAACUCCUUUCAUUGAAAACACCAUUCUGAAGAUAUCUGAAGCUUUUAUAAAUAUAAAAAAGUAUUCAAUAUAUCUAAACUUGUAAGUCAUACGUGCUUCUACACUCACAAUUCAAUAUCACUCCUAGAUAAUCUGCAUUGUUGCCUGUUGUAACUACUUCUUUCCUCGUGUACCAACAUCCUAUGCUCACUCUAUGUUCAAAACCUUUGAACAAUGUUCACUUUCCAAUUUUUUCAACACCUCAGAUGUAUUUUUAACUAUUCCUUGCUAUACCUGAUAAUACUAAUUUUCUUAAUAAUUAAUAGUAAUUUGCCUUUCAUUUCCAUUAUUUAAUCUGCUUAUUUACAAGUUCAAGCACACAUUUACAAGGUAGGUAUUUACAUAUUUGAACAAGCCUAUGUUGUGUUACUCAAAAUAUUGAUGCUUUGCAAUUGUUAGUCAUGUAAUUAUCCUAAACGUAAUAAAUCAUUUAUUUGCCCUUUUAUUUUUAUUUUAUGGGCUCUAACUUUUACUUGUACCAGCAUUGAUGUAAAUAGUAAAUACUAAGGUUAUUUUAAACAGUUAUUUAAAUGGAACUUACCUUCCCAAAUGUAGUGCUUCGUAAGCCUUUUUUUUUUUUUUUUUUACCUAACUGUCAGGUAACCCUAAAUGAGAGAUCCUGGAAGCAUUAAGGAACUUACAAAUAGUACCUUUGAAAACUAAACCACGUGUCCAUAUUUUCUCUGUGGUUUUGGUUUGUUUUGUUGGUUAGUUUUUUAUUCCAUUAGGAGUUUUCCUGGUGGUAGUCUAACCACCUAGACUGAGUUGGACACCAUUUCAAGAAGAAGGAAACUUAUUUCAACCCAGUGAAGUAGUAACUACGUGGGGCUUCACCAGGAAUUAUUUUGACAUGUGAAUAUUUUACUUGCUUUGAGUUGUUGUAUGCAUAUAAUUGUACUAUUUUACAGCUAUAUAUUCUAAAUCACAUUACUUCUCUGGAAUUUAGCCAGUCUUAUGGGAAGGAGCAGGACCUUCAACGUGCUAUGAUGGUUUUUCAGCUCACUGUCUCAAAAUCUGACCUGUUUGAUCAGGGAAUGGGGAAGAACCCAUGAAUGAAGUUUCUGGCUAUUAAAAUAAAAUGAAAAAUGUAGCCCACUCUUCCUCAAACAUCACCAUUUUUUCAUUUUAAUAUUUUAAUGGAUUUUUCUUUUCUCCUCAUGUAGCUGGGGUCAAGCCUUGCUUCUUCUCAUCUAUCAAGUCAUCUUAGCUUUGCAGAAUUCCUGCCAGCAAAUGUGCAGACCUAUAACCAAGCAAUAUUGAAAUUACCAAUGAAAGAGCUUUAUUCUUCUAAGCAUAUUUGCCAAACACUCUGACUGAGAGAUUAAAAUACACGUUUGAAGCAAAUUUGGCUAGGGCUUUGCAGGCAGACAUACUAACUUGAACUGCUGGUACCAUCCAUUCAGGCUUCAUCCCUUGCAGCAGGCUGAAAACAUCCUGCAGAUCUCUUGCUGCUCCAACAAGCUUUGUCCUGUUUCUUUAUUCUUUUGCAAUUACUUAUUUAUACUUUUUUGGUGUGUGUGAGAACCUAGUAUCUGUUUGAUGCAAGAUCACUAACAAUUUUGUAGAGGAAAAUAAAUGAUGUGUGUACUCCAUUGACACGCAAGAGUAGCGAUUGAGCAUGCUUCAGUGCUCCCACCUGUAGCACAACUGAUUAAGUGUGGAAAGGAUGAAAGAAGAUGAAAACACAUUGAGCAGAGGAACUGAAAGUGCAUGAGGCCAAGAGGCUCCUAAUGUGAGUAACUGUUACCAGACUAAUAGGAGGUAGUCAUAAUAUUUUUAGUUUAUAAGGUUGUUAUUGAUGUAAAAUGCAGAAAUAAAGGAUGAGAAGCAGAAAUCAGAGGGAGAUAUUCUUCAUCAAUCAUCAGAACCUCAGUUGUAAUGCCAUGAGAGUAAAGGGCAUCUAUAAAUGAGGCUGGGACUCAGAUCAUUUGUCUUCCGUAGUUACUAACGGAUCUGUAGUCCUUACCCACUAUUUCCUCUUGGAAGGCAUUUGUACUUCUGUCCUCCACAACAUCCUAUGGCAGUAUUCUGAGCUCUGAUCACUCAGCAUAUUGUCUUUAAGAGCAUGGGGACAUCUGCAUGAUUUAGGGAAUGUAAAGAUGGGUAUUUCUAGCAUACAGAGAAGCAUGUCAGAAAUACCUUUCCAAGGGAGGCAGGUUCUAGGAAUGGCUGUGUGCACCAACCCUCCAGUUCCUCUUGCCUCCUCCAGUGUAGGAUCUUAGAAAGGCUUGGGUUGGAAGGGACCUUAAAAAUUAUCUACCCCCACCACGCACUCCUCUGGUGAGAUUCUCUGGGAAAGUGAGCUGUCAUUCUUGAGUAAUCCAGGAUAGAGUGGAUGGGAAGUGUUGGGAAAGAAGCUGGAAAGAGGCAUUCUGGGAAGCUCAAGUAGGCUUGGUGUGCGCUGGUAAUGUAGAAGGAAGCAUGUGGAAACACCCAGGGGGAAAAAAUGACAGAUUUACAUCUUGGAGUUAUUUCAGACUCUGUUAUUCUCUAUGGGGAAUUCCCAUUCAGCUAAGAACAGUACCAUUCUUAUAAAAUAUUUCAGGGUAACACUGUGAUACAACUCUGUAUUAGAAUCUCUAGUUAAACUGUAGAAUAUUGAGAAGAUACAAGAGUUACUCAUCUCUAAGGCUCUUUAAGAAUCACUGUCAGUGUGGCUGGAAGGGGAAUUGUCAGGGUACCAUGACAUUAACAAAGGUUUCUCAAGAGCAGCCUUAACUCUUAUUGUAAGUAUUUCUACUAAUGGUUUCAACACUAGCAAAAAGGCAGACCUGACAAACUCAAUUGGGAAGCAUCUCCAGAGAAAGACCAAAUAUGCAAGAGGACCAAGGGACUGUGGAAACGCUGCCUAAACUUCAGUAGAAAACGGGCUGGAUCUUGAGUGAUGGUUCAGCUGGAGGUGUUUGCAUGUGUGUGUAUGCAAGCUCCUUCGAAUAGGGAGAGAUGUGUGGGUUUGCUGGUAUUCAGUUGAAGUGCAGAGUUGGUCAUCGUUCAGGGAUGGGGAAUUCUAUAAGUACAUUUCCACCUGGUUGGAGGGUAUGGAGAAGACAAGCAAACUUGUGCUGGUGCUGCACAGGGAGAGGCAGUGGCACUGGGUGGAAAAGAAACGUUCUAGUUGGAUGCAAGGAAAACAAAAUUACCACGGUGCUGAUGGGUCAGUGGAGAGGCUAUAAAAUGUGUCCUGGAGGUGUGUGAGACUUAGCUGACCAGUGCUGAGCAUACUGCCCUACUGGACCCUGUCUGGGAAAAGCUGGGCUGCAGCCUUCAUAGAUCCUUCCCAACAUCUACUCUGUGCUUAGUAACUUUUCUUGAUCAAAAAUGUUGGGUUGUAUAGUCAUAAGAAGUGUUAUCAGAUGGCCAGGAUUAUCCAUGAACUUACAGAUCUGGAUCUCAGCUCGUUUCUUACAGAACUAUAUUUUCACAUAUUUAUUUUCUACGGCAAAAAUGUUUUGAAUUUCUGUGCAUAAGGUUUUGUUUCGCUGUCGUGGGCUGAGAUUUCUGUUGUUUGCCAUUAUUUUUGAUAUCAAAGAUUUUGAUGUUUGCAAUUAUUUUCUAUGCAGAGGUUGCUAGAAUCAGAUUAAGAAACCAGGUAUUUUCUGCAGCCUUUUAGUACCAAAGCCUCAGACAUGGUAGCGUGUGAGGAAACAGAUAGGAAAGUUUUCAGUGGGUUGCACUGGGGUCCUAAAAGGGGCAUCCCUGACUGCAUGGCUUACAGCAGAGCCAGGCCUUCUCCCCUGUGCUCCUUCAUCUGUUCUCAUAAGGAAAUGGUGUUGCAGAAAGGCUAAGGAAGGAGAAUGAGCAAGGCAAGACUUAACAGCCUACGUGUAUCUGAAAUUGUAAAUAACUAAAGAUAAAAAGGAAAUAUUCGGGGGAGCGUAGGGGCUUAUAGCUAGAAAUAAAGCAGUGAAAUGAAGAAAGAGAAGAUUAAGGCUAAAUGUCAUGAAAGAGCAUUCUGCAACAGUAGUGGUUUUUUAGAUGACUCUUCCAAAGAAAGCAAAGAAAAAAAGGUUUUAGGACAAAGGCCCUUUAUUCCUUUUUCUUUUUUCCCUGUUUCUUCCCUUCAGCUUAACCACUCUAUGUAAAAUAAUCUCAUAUGGGUAUAUAAAAGAAUGUAUUAAAUUUUUUGAGGCAUGAAUGUGAAUCUCUACAUCCUUGGAGCUGUCGUGAUGAUGCCUGAAUCUCGUGCAGCUUCACCAAGCCAAAGGCACAACCUUUGUCACCCACAUCUCAGGGCACAGAGUUCCAAUGCUGCAGUGAAAGUAAGGAGCUGGGUAGUUGAGGAUUUAGUUUUUACCUAAGUUGCAUAACAGAGAGAGUGAAAACCUGUGUUUGGGCUGCAGUGAGUGGAGAAGAAAGGAGGAAGAUUGGAAGAAAUAAAGCUUGUCGGGGAGUGUUGCUUUCUUUUUCGGCUGGGUGUUGAUGCUGCCCCUUAUAUAUCACUCGUAGGACCCAGAUGGCAAUUCCAGCUGCAACUGGUCCUAUCUUAUUGGAGGUUAGAAUCGUUGUAAAAAAGCAAAGAGGGUAUUUGUGGUUGGCUAACUGCUAAGAGGAAGUAAAGAAAUAAACCAAAAUCCCGAAGUUAAACUUUGGAGUGGGUUAAAUAAGUGCUAAUUCUUUGCAAUAUCAUAUUUUGACACAGAUAUUCUUCACUCAGCUGACAGUGGCUUUUGAUGUCUAAAACAUCUUUCCUUUAACUUUAUCUCCCGAACCAUGGAAUUGUGCAGAGUGAAGUUGCUGGCAUUGGUGAUGUUGCAUCUGUGUGCUAAUGAAAUGGUCCAGAUAAAGCUUCUUUUUUUUUUAAUGUGGACUGUGAUGAAACUCCUGUAUGUUUUAGCUGAAUACUUUGCUGCUUUUCCUUUACUUCUUUCACUUCUCAGUGCAGUAUUCCAGCUGAACCUUGCUAAUCUGACAGCUCUUUGCUACCAGUCUGGCUGCAUCUGGAGACAGCCUGAGCUCCAAACCUCUGUGGUAUUUUCUCUGUACUUGGAGAUGUUACGUGAUACUUUCUCCUACAUAACAAAAAUCACUAAAUCUUGCUAAGAGUUAAAGCACAACUUUUCCUUGGGCUCGAAAGCCUCUGCUGCCCCAUGAGGGUCUUCAUAAGCUGCAGACACUUCAUCUUGCCCUUUCCUGGAGGGUAACCUGUCUUAGCAAUUCCUUCCACGACAGAGUGUCUGCUGCAAGUGCUGUUUCUGCUGGUGGGUGAGAAGAGACAAACUGCAUAUCUGAUAGAUCCACAGAGGGUGGUGACGCACUGAACAGGUUGCCCAAGGAGGCUGUGGAUGCCCCAUCCCUGCAGGCAUUCAAGGCCAGGCUGGAUGUGGCUCUGGGCAGCCUGGGCUGCUGGUUGGCGACCCUGCACAUAGCAGGGGGUUGGAACUGGAUGAGCAUUGUGCUCCUUUUCAAGCCAGGCCAUUCUAUGAUUCUGUGAUACAUCUGGGCACUAAGGAAGCUAAACCACAUAAUCCUGGUCAGUCCUCCUGUGAUGAUGAUGGUUUUCCCAGGAGAUGUCUUAAAAAAUUAACAAGGUCAUUUUCUUCACAAAACUUUCCAAGCCUCAUUUCAGCCAAGCUGAAGGGAGCACUGCUCUGAUCUGUUUCUGACUUAUUCGUGUGUGUGACGUGUGAUGCUGGGGCUGCUACCAGUGGGCUCCUCAGAUCCUUGGAGGAAUCGGGCUGUCCCUGGGAGAGACUGUCUUUAUAGCAGUGAUAAGAUGGAAAGGAUCAUGGCAGAGACCAAACUGAUAAAGGCAGGAAUACUACAAGGAACAGCAUGCUGAAGGCAGAAUAUUUAAAGCUGCAUUAGAGGCAUUCUUUUCUGUCUGUUCAGAAGUUACCUUCCAUAGCCAAGUCCUUUAGCAGUAGAUGGUCUUUUCUCUACAGAAGAAAGAGCCUUCCAGAAGCGGGUACUCCACGCCUCUUGCCCAAGUCCACUUUGUUAAUAUUGCAAAAUUGCAAUCGAACUAAGCUGAUUAAGUGGUGCUGUAGAUUUGACACACAGAAACAAUGUUGUUAAUCUGGCAGCCAAAUAUAUUGGAGGGAAAAUGAGGUAACAGAAAACCAUAAAUUCCAUCCAGAAAUAUUUUUUCCUUAUUAAAAAAAAAAAAAACAAAAAACAAAAAAAACCAAUGAAACAUGUCUAGAAAGUCUUUCUUUCAAAAAAAGAAAAACAACAAAGACCAGCACUGGAACAGGAGGAUAUCAGAUUUUAUUUAAGCAAAGAAAGAAUGCAAGCACAACAUAAAUUUGGUAUUUAAAAAAACCCAACCUGCGUUAUUACAUUUGAGAAGUUUCUUGGAGUGAUCUGCAGGUUCCAUGGGAAUGAUCUGCACAUGCAGCAUUCAUAGCUGAAAAGGAAGCUAAAUUCCUUUCUGUUCGUAAUGCAAUCAUCUUACAAGGUAUUUUUUAUUAAAUUAGACCCAUGUGACUAAAUUGCUACCGAUGCCUUUUGUGAAUGCUCCUAAAUCAUCAGCUAAAUAGCAGCUGAUCUAAGUUUGGCAAAAGGAAGAAAUGAAGUUUUGGAAAAUGAUCUUCUUGUUCCUGAUAGCAAUCAAUCAGAAUGGGUUACUUGCAUACAGUCUUUUUUUAAAAGCACCAUAAUAACGGGAGGGCUGCGGAUCUUUCUUAUGUUAGCAGAGGAAAAAGAAAAAGGUACAGUCCAUAGUUUGAGCUUAAACAUGCUAUGGAUGUUCAGGUUUAUAUAUAUGUGUGUGUGUCUGUGUGUAUGUAUAUAAAUUUUAUAUAUGUAUAUCUAUGUAAAAUGUUUAUAUAUUUUUUAUAUAUAUAAAUACAUGUUAAUCAUCUGGAUCUUUAAGGUAUGCAGCAGGAUGAAAAGAUUGCUGUCUCCACUUAUUUCUAGCAUCACUAGAAGCAAAAGCAAAGCAUACACUGGCUUACCUGACCAAUCAGUGAAUUGUUUUCUUCUGUCAUUUCCUGUUUAAUUCAUGCUUUUGAUAGCUAUUCUUUGUCUUCAGAGAAAUCUUUCCUGUGUUCUAGGGGUCUCCUUCAAAGCAGCACACAGACAAUUGGGACAUUUUGGUAUUUAGGGCAUGUCCCCAGCUUUCAUGUGCUCUUCCUUACCUUUCAUGUUUGUUUUUUCCCAUUGUCAGAACCUGCAGUGCCUCCUCUUCGGUAUCCCUGGCAGCAGCUGGUAGUGCAUUCCCUUCAGAGGUGGGCGGCCCUUCUGUCCAUGCUGUUUUCCAGACACUGGGGAAAGGGAGUACUAGGCAUAGACCUGGCAAAGUGGGAUCAGGCUUAUAUAUUUGUAUACAUGCAUUAAAAAACAUUUUAAUUCUUAUAGGCAAUCUUACUAGCGUUUGGUUUGGAGAACAUACAUUGCUAAUAGAUAGCAGUAUGCAUCUGUUAAAUUUUAUGGGAUUUGGGGGCAGUUGUGAUUUAAUUUGUUUCUGGGAGUUCCAUCAAAAGAGAAAUCCUUUGUAAAGCUGCAGGUGUUAAAAUUAGACAAAAAUACUUUCUGUUCUGGGAAAUUAUAUGCACUUACAGCAAUUGAAUGUUGAAGUUGAAAUGCAAGGAGAAAAUGAAAGUCUUAAUAACCUGCUAACUGUAAUUUUGAGCUUUCAUAGAAACAGAUUUCCUGGCCCUUCCUUGUGGUUCCUUUGAAUAAAUAAGACAUUUACAGAUCCAUGGAAGCUCCCAUGUAGUGUCAACCCAACUAGUUUAGUUUUGUUAAAUCUGGAAGUUCAUUUUGUAUGUGAGUUCCUGAGACAGGAAUUUUUCAAUUUCACCAAGGCUUACUGCAGUGUAUGUAAACUUAGUGUUUUAUAUUUACGUAUAAUGUAUGGUAAGUCAAUUACAGUGACCAGGUGAACAAGAGUAGUGCUGAGGAGCACAGAACAGUAGUGCUGGUAACAAGAGGGAGUAAGGCUGUUUACGAGGGUGGAUAGUGAUAGGACAAGGGGGAAUGGUUUUGAACUGAGAUGGGGGAGCUUUAGGUUGGAUAUGAGGAGGAAGUUUUUCCCCCUGAGGGUGGUGACGCACUGAACAGGUUGCCCAAGGAGGCUGUGGAUGCCCCAUCCCUGCAGGCAUUCAAGGCCAGGCUGGAUGUGGCUCUGGGCAGCCUGGGCUGCUGGUUGGCGACCCUGCACAUAGCAGGGGGUUGGAACUGGAUGAGCACUGUGGGCCUUUUCAACCCAGGCCAUGCUGUGAUUCUAUGCCUUUGCCUGUUGGUGUUCAAAACGUGGUAUAAAACUUUGCAGUUUGCACUAAUUUUGCCGCAGUUAAAUGAAUGGAAAGAUACUGCUGAACUUCUGUUCAACCCUUGUAAUAUCAGCCAAUUAAUACAAUUUUUCUGUUGCACUUGAUUGCCUUUUCAGUUCUUUAAAGACAAAAUAAACAAGAGGUGUAUCUGAAGAGAGAUGGAUUUGUUUUUCUUUUGCCGUGUAAUCAUCACAGAUUCAUAUGUUCUUACAUUUCUGGCGUUUUCUGCCUCCCCUAAAUGUUUCCAGUUGAGUUUUGGAGGUGGG
rnacentral:lncRNA from 1 species